rnacentral:rRNA from 1 species
GACGAGGGGUCCAAGCGUUGUUCGGAGUCAUUGGGCGUAAAGCGGGUGUAGGUGGCUCUAUAAGUCAGGCGUGAAAGCCCCGAGCUUAACUCGGGAAGUGCUUAUGAUACUGUAGAGCUUGAGUGUGGGAGAGGAUCGUGGAAUUCCAGGUGUAGUGGUGAAAUACGUAGAUAUCUGGAGGAACACCGGUGGCGAAGGCGGCGAUCUGGCCCAACACUGACACUGAGACCCGAAAGCAUGGGGAUCAAACAGG